rnacentral:rRNA from 1 species
AUUGAACGCUGGCGGCAGGCUUAACACAUGCAAGUCGAGCGGAGAGAGGUAGCUUGCUACUGAUCUUAGCGGCGGACGGGUGAGUAAUGCUUAGGAAUCUGCCUAGUAGUGGGGGACAACAUCUCGAAAGGAAUGCUAAUACCGCAUACGUCCUACGGGAGAAAGCAGGGGAUCUUCGGACCUUGCGCUAAUAGAUGAGCCUAAGUCGGAUUAGCUAGUUGGUGGGGUAAAGGCCUACCAAGGCGACGAUCUGUAGCGGGUCUGAGAGGAUGAUCCGCCACACUGGGACUGAGACACGGCCCAGACUCCUACGGGAGGCAGCAGUGGGGAAUAUUGGACAAUGGGCGCAAGCCUGAUCCAGCCAUGCCGCGUGUGUGAAGAAGGCCUUAUGGUUGUAAAGCACUUUAAGCGAGGAGGAGGCUACUUUAGUUAAUACCUAGAGAUAGUGGACGUUACUCGCAGAAUAAGCACCGGCUAACUCUGUGCCAGCCGCCGCAGUAA